AGAGUUUGAUCCUGGCUCAGAUUGAACGCUGGCGGCAUGCUUUACACAUGCAAGUCGGACGGCAGCACAGGGAAGCUUGCUUCUCGGGUGGCGAGUGGCGAACGGGUGAGUAACAUAUCGGAACGUACCGGGUAGCGGGGGAUAACUGAUCGAAAGAUCAGCUAAUACCGCAUACGUCUUGAGAGGGAAAGCAGGGGACCUUCGGGCCUUGCGCUAUCCGAGCGGCCGAUAUCUGAUUAGCUGGUUGGCGGGGUAAAGGCCCACCAAGGCGACGAUCAGUAGCGGGUCUGAGAGGAUGAUCCGCCACACUGGGACUGAGACACGGCCCAGACUCCUACGGGAGGCAGCAGUGGGGAAUUUUGGACAAUGGGCGCAAGCCUGAUCCAGCCAUGCCGCGUGUCUGAAGAAGGCCUUCGGGUUGUAAAGGACUUUUGUCAGGGAAGAAAAGGCCGUUGCCAAUAUCGGCGGCCGAUGACGGUACCUGAAGAAUAAGCACCGGCUAACUACGUGCCAGCAGCCGCGGUAAUACGUAGGGUGCGAGCGUUAAUCGGAAUUACUGGGCGUAAAGCGGGCGCAGACGGUUACUUAAGCAGGAUGUGAAAUCCCCGGGCUCAACCCGGGAACUGCGUUCUGAACUGGGUGACUCGAGUGUGUCAGAGGGAGGUGGAAUUCCACGUGUAGCAGUGAAAUGCGUAGAGAUGUGGGGGAAUACCGAUGGCGAAGGCAGCCUCCUGGGAUAACACUGACGUUCAUGUCCGAAAGCGUGGGUAGCAAACAGGAUUAGAUACCCUGGUAGUCCACGCCCUAAACGAUGUCAAUUAGCUGUUGGGCAACUUGAUUGCUUGGUAGCGUAGCUAACGCGUGAAAUUGACCGCCUGGGGAGUACGGUCGCAAGAUUAAAACUCAAAGGAAUUGACGGGGACCCGCACAAGCGGUGGAUGAUGUGGAUUAAUUCGAUGCAACGCGAAGAACCUUACCUGGUUUUGACAUGUGCGGAAUCCUCCGGAGACGGAGGAGUGCCUUCGGGAGCCGUAACACAGGUGCUGCAUGGCUGUCGUCAGCUCGUGUCGUGAGAUGUUGGGUUAAGUCCCGCAACGAGCGCAACCCUUGUCAUUAGUUGCCAUCAUUCGGUUGGGCACUCUAAUGAGACUGCCGGUGACAAGCCGGAGGAAGGUGGGGAUGACGUCAAGUCCUCAUGGCCCUUAUGACCAGGGCUUCACACGUCAUACAAUGGUCGGUACAGAGGGUAGCCAAGCCGCGAGGCGGAGCCAAUCUCACAAAACCGAUCGUAGUCCGGAUUGCACUCUGCAACUCGAGUGCAUGAAGUCGGAAUCGCUAGUAAUCGCAGGUCAGCAUACUGCGGUGAAUACGUUCCCGGGUCUUGUACACACCGCCCGUCACACCAUGGGAGUGGGGGAUACCAGAAGUAGGUAGGGUAACCGCAAGGAGUCCGCUUACCACGGUAUGCUUCAUGACUGGGGUGAAGUCGUAACAAGGUAGCCGUAGGGGAACCUGCGGCUGGAUCACCU
rnacentral:rRNA from 1 species